AUACGGAGGGUGCAAGCGUUACUCGGAAUCACUGGGCGUAAAGCGCGCGCAGGCGGUCUUUUAAGUUGGAUGUGAAGGCCUACGGCUCAACCGUAGAACUGCAUCCAAAACUAUUUAGCUAGAGUGUGGGAGAGGAAGAUGGAAUUAAUUGUGUAGGGGUAAAAUCCGUAGAGAUAACUAGGAAUACCAAAAGCGAAGGCAAUCUUCUGGAACACUACUGACGCUGAGGCGCGAAAGCGUGGGGAGCAAACAGGAUUAGAAACCCUAGUAGUCC
rnacentral:rRNA from 1 species